UACGUAGGUGGCGAGCGUUGUUCGGAUUUAUUGGGCGUAAAGGGUCCGCAGGAGGUUUGUUAAGUUCGAAGUGAAAUCCCGGAGCUCAACUCCGGAACUGCUUUGGAGACUGACGAACUAGAGUGCUGGAGAGGUAAGCGGAAUUCCAGGUGUAGCGGUGGAAUGCGUAGAUAUCUGGAAGAACACCAAAAGCGAAGGCAGCUUACUGGACAGCAACUGACUCUCAGGGACGAAAGCGUGGGGAG
rnacentral:rRNA from 1 species